rnacentral:rRNA from 1 species
GCACGGGUGAGUAACACGUGACUAACCUACCCUGGAGUGGGGGAUAACUGAGGGAAACCUUAGCUAAUACCGCAUAACACCUACGGGUCAAAGGAGCAAUUCGCUUCAGGAGGGGGUCGCGGCAGAUUAGUUAGUUGGCGGGGUAAUGGCCCACCAAGACGAUGAUCUGUAUCCGGCCUGAGAGGGCGCACGGACACACUGGAACUGAAACACGGUCCAGACUCCUACGGGAGGCAGCAGUGGGGAAUUUUGCGCAAUGGGGGAAACCCUGACGCAGCAACGCCGCGUGGAGGAUGAAAUCCCUUGGGAUGUAAACUCCUUUCGAUAGGGAAGAUAAUGACGGUACCUAUAGAAGAAGCCCCGGCUAACUUCGUGCCAGCAGCCGCGGUAAUACGAGGGGGGCAAGCGUUGUUCGGAAUUAUUGGGCGUAAAGGGUGCGUAGGCGGUUUGACAAGUCUUAUGUGAAAUCUUCGGGCUCAACCCGAAGUCUGCAUAGGAAACUGUCGGGCUUGAGUAUGGGAGAGGUGAGUGGAAUUUCCGGUGUAGCGGUGAAUGCGUAGAUUCGGAAGGAACACCUGUG